rnacentral:rRNA from 1 species
GAGGGAAAGGUGAAAAGAGCCCCGGAAGGGGAGUGAAAAGAACCUGAAACCGUGUGCGUACAAGCAGUGGGAGCCCUUCGGGGUGACUGCGUACCUUUUGUAUAAUGGGUCAGCGAGUUAUCUGCAUUAGCAAGGUUAACCUUUUUGGGGGAGCCGUAGAGAAAUCGAGUCUUAAUAGGGCGAGUAGUUGAUGCAGGUAGACCCGAAACAGGGUGAGCUAGUCCUGGACAGAUUGAAGGUAGGGUAACACCUACUGGAGGAUCGAACACACUAACGUUGCAAAGUUAGGUGAUGAUCUGGGACUAGGGGUGAAAGGCCAAUCAAACUCUGUGAUAGCUGGUUCUCUUCGAAAGCUAUUUAGGUAGCGUUCUGCGCGGACGUACGGGGGUAGAGCACUGUUAUGGCAAGGGGCCCAUCUCGGGUUGCCAAACCAUUGCAAACUACGAAUACCGUACAGUUGGAAGCAGAGGACAGACGGUGGGUGCUAACGUUCAUCGUCAAGAGGGAAACAACCCGGACCGCCAGCUAAGGUCCCCAAGUUCUAGUUAAGUGGGAAACGAUG